CGCCGCACACUCGCUCUCCCAACCUCGCGGGCUGCGGUAGGUCGUGCCGAGGGCGCAACGAUCGCAGUCACAUUUCCCGCCACGCGUCGAGCACACAUUUUCUUUGAUAUUUCGUGCAAUUGCAAAGAAAAAAGUGAACAACGGGAGAUCAUUGGUGCCUUCGACGAGUGUGCUGUGAUAUAUGUUUCAACUUUAACAACUUAAUUUUCGUUGGUAAAAUUCUGGCGAUUAGUAAAGCUUUGAUCGUAAUCACGCUAGUGAAACGAAAACAUACAUUUCGACGUUUCAAGUAGUAAGGAUUUCGAGGACUGCAAGCAGUAGCAAGUAACAGGCAACAUACACUCAACAACAUCGUUCAAGCAUAUCACUACGCCCGAGCUAUGAAGAGAUAAUUUAUCCAGUAACGAAACUCAAGUAUAACUAUUUUUACAAGUGUAAUGCCAAUUAAGAAUUAAUUGGCCUAGUGAUAAUUGAAGGUGCAUUUAGAAUAAAGUACUAAUGUACUUAUCGCUAACAAUAAAAACAAGCAAAACAUCAAGACACAUGGCGUUCGUGAGCCUGAGGAGCACGUUGCGGAUAGGAGUGGCGGUGUUGACCGCGCUGGCGCUCCUCGCGCGCGGUAGCGCGGCGCCCGCCUUCGCUGGCACCGACAACGCCAUGAUGUACCUGGCGCAGUACGGGUACUUAAGCCCGGCGGUGCGCAACCCGUCCAGCGGACACAUCAUGGACGAGAGCUCGUGGCGCCGCGCCAUUGCCGAGUUCCAGAGCUUCGCUGGACUCAAUGCGACAGGCGAGCUGGACGAGGAGACGACGCAGGUGAUGUCGCUGCCGCGCUGUGGCGUGCGCGAUAAAGUCGGCUUCGGGGAGAGCCGUGCGAAGAGAUACGCCCUGCAAGGGUCCCGGUGGCGAGUGAAGAAUCUGACCUACAAGAUCUCCAAGUACCCGUCGAAGCUGAACCGAGCGGAGGUGGAUGCCGAGUUGGCUAAGGCGUUCAACGUCUGGGCCGACUACACCGACCUCACCUUUACGCAAAAACGAUCUGGACAAGUCCAUAUUGAAAUAAGGUUUGAGAAGGGAGAGCACGGAGACGGUGAUCCUUUUGACGGGCCCGGUGGCACUCUGGCCCACGCCUAUUUUCCGGUGUACGGUGGUGACGCGCACUUUGACGACGCCGAGAUGUGGUCUAUCAACUCGAGGAGGGGAACUAACCUUUUCCAGGUGGCUGCACACGAGUUCGGACAUUCGUUAGGUCUUUCGCACAGUGAUGUUCGUUCCGCACUCAUGGCGCCCUUCUACAGAGGUUACGACCCCGCCUUCCAGCUAGAUACGGAUGAUAUUCAAGGCAUUCAGGCACUCUACGGGCGGAAAACUCAGACCGACAUCGGAGGUGGCGCGCUGGCGCCGGCUGCCCCGCGGCCCACUGCGGCGCCGCCGUCAGCGGAGGACCCGGCGCUGUGCGCCGAUCCCAAUAUCGACACUAUAUUCAACUCCGCCGACGGAAACACAUUUAUAUUCAAGGGUGAACACUAUUGGCGGUUGACUGAGGACGGAGUAGCAUCAGGGUACCCGCGCCUCAUCUCGCGCUCGUGGCCCAACUUGCCCGGCAACAUCGACGCCGCCUUCACCUACAAGAACGGCAAGACCUACUUCUUCAAGGGCUCCAAAUACUGGAGGUAUAAUGGACAGAGGAUGGACGGCGACUAUCCUAAAGAAAUUAGCGAAGGUUUCACUGGUAUUCCUGACAACUUGGAUGCUGCGCUCGUGUGGUCCGGCAACGGCAAGAUUUACUUCUACAAGGGCUCUAAGUUCUGGAGGUUCGACCCUGCGCAGCGACCGCCUGUCAAAUCCACCUACCCCAAACCCCUGUCCAACUGGGAGGGCAUCCCAGACAACAUCAACGCUGCCCUUCAAUAUACGAAUGGUUACACCUACUUCUUUAAGGGAGGCCAGUACUGGAGGUUUAACGACAGGACGUUUAGUGUGGACUCAGAUAAUCCCGCGUUCCCACGCAGCACGGCUUUCUGGUGGCUGGGUUGCUCGAGUGCGCCGCGCGGCACAGUCGGAGGUAACGCGCGGCUGUCGGCCCCCGCGCCGUCGGAAGACGACGUCGGCGAGAUUCAGUUCGACGCAGGUGUAAACCCAUCCGCUCCCAGAUCAUUCUUCUGGUUCAGGAAAUAGUCUCCGUGGAGAAUUUCUGAACAUUGUACAUAGAGAAAUUGCAUAAAGAACAAAGACUCAAUUAGUUUCAUAGGAGAAUAUAUGCGAAUACCAGUGAGAUUAUAGACAUAAGCAGUGAUUUAGAGCGGCCCGCUUGUCACGCGCUGACUAUGGUGAGGAGGCGUCGGGCGGGAAUGGCAGCGCGAGCGCGCGCCUAUCUGCCGGCAUCGCGGCGCUGGCGCUGGCGGCCGUGUGCUCGCGGUUCUAGCAGUGCGCCUGCGCUACCUUGCUACGGUUUGGAAUCGAUGCCUAACUGAUCUUGAGACAUGGUGCGACAGCCGACGGCUGCUACAGUCGCGCCGCUAACCGCGGGAGCUGCGCCCGCGUGAGCACCUCGCCGUUUCGCUGACUGUUAUUGUGUGAGUGUGUGUGUCAGGCUUCGGUAUAUUGUGUAUAGCGAACGCCAAGUGUGAUGAUGUUUGCGAACUUUUAUACUGUUACGAGAACGAUAAUUUAAUGCAAGUCAUAGUUUUUAUACUUAUUAUAAAUAGAUGAUGUAAGUACGAGUGUGAUAUUGAUGUAAGCGAAGAGUUUUGAAUAAAACUAAUGAAGUAAAAUAAA